GUGCUCACUUUAGCAGCAUAUAUCUAAACACAGAAUACAAAGAAGAUUAGCACGGUUCCCGUGCAAAGAUGACAUGCAAAUUUGUGAAACAUUGCCUACUUUU
ensembl:snRNA U6 U6 spliceosomal RNA